GAUGAAGAACGUAGCGAAAUGCGAUAAGUAAUGUGAAUUGCAGAAUUCAGUGAAUCAUCGAAUCUUUGAACGCACAUUGCGCCCGCCAGUAUUCUGGCGGGCAUGCCUGUCCGAGCGUCAUUUCAACCCUCGAACCCCUCCGGGGGGUCGGCGUUGGGGAUCGGCCCUUUACGGGGCCGGCCCCGAAAUACAGUGGCGGUCUCGCCGCAGCCUCUCCUGCGCAGUAGUUUGCACACUCGCAUCGGGAGCGCGGCGCGUCCACAGCCGUUAAACACCCCAAACUUCUGAAAUGUUGACCUCGGAUCAGGUAGGAAUACCCGCUGAACUUAAGCAUUCAAUAAGCGGAGGA
rnacentral:misc_RNA from 1 species